rnacentral:rRNA from 1 species
UCGAAUAGUNGCUANNNNNNNAAGCUNNNAGGGUAGCUGGCGAAGGAGGGAGCUAGCGCGGGAAGGCGUGCUAUACCAUUGGGCUGUAAGCUGCUGUAAUAUCUCGCGCCGAUCGAAAGCCUAGCUAGCUAAAUCGACUAGCAUCAGCAUCGAAGAUGCAGCUGCAGCUGAGCGUGCGACUAAAAUCGACUAGCAUGGUACGACUGCAAUUUGGGGGAAACCCUGACGAAGCAACGCCGCGUGAGGGAUGAAGGCUUUCGGGUCGUAAAGCUCUGUCAAGUGGGAAACCCACAUGGUGAUAAUACCCCAUGUGUUGACGGUACCACUGGGAAGCACCCGGCUAACUCCGUGCCAGCAGCCGCGGUAAAACGGGGGGUUCAAGCGUUAUUCGUGAAUUACUGGGCGUAAGAGCGCGUAGGCGGUCUUUAAGUCAUUUGUGAAAGCCCGGGGCUAAACCCCGGAAGUGCACUUGAACUAAGGGACUUGAGUAGGGAGAGGGAAGUGGAAUUCCUGGUGUAGCGGUGAAAUGCGUUAGAUAUCAGGGGAACACCGGUGGCCAAGGCGACUUCCUGGACCAAUAUGACGCUGAGGCGGGAAGGCCGUGGGGAGCAAACAGGAAAAGAUACCCUGGUGUCCACGCAGUAAACGGUGAACCACUAGGUGUAGCCGGUAUUUGACCCCUGCUUGUGCCGCAGCAAACGCUAAGUGUUCCGCCUGGGGAGUACGACCGAAGGUUAAACUCCCAAGGAAUUGACGGGGCCCGCCCCAACCGGUGGAGCAUGGUGGUUUAAAUCCGACGAACGGGAAGAACCUUACCUUAUUUGACAUCCCGGGAAUUUCUUGGAAACUUGAGAGUGCCUUCGGGGAGCCUGAAGACAGGUGCUGCAUGGCUG